rnacentral:tRNA from 1 species
GGGGUUGUGGCUCAGUGGUAGAGCACCUGCCUUGCACGCAUGAGGCACUGGGUUCGAUCCUCAGCACCA